rnacentral:lncRNA from 1 species
CUCAGCUUUUUGGGUGGUUGGCCAGGGUGGCAGGGGGUGGAGAAAGCAAACAAGCGAUAGAGGCCAAGCCAGCAGCCAAAGUUGGCCACAGUUUGGGCCUGCCCCAAGAGCCCCUGUAGGAAUAGUACAGUCCCAGAACCACCCCAAGGAGCCCAUCAGGCCAGAGGCCCACUGGUGGGACAGGACUCUCCACUUGGAUCCAAAGUGUAGCCUGUGUGGUCAGGAAAGAUGAAGUGAAUAUUCGCUGGCCAGGUCCUGGGAAAGUGCAGACAGGGGUGACUGGGGCAGCGUGAGCUCACAGCUCAAUCCACAGGAGAGGACACAGCCUGGGCAAGAAGUAGAGGAUGGAAAAAUAUCAUCCCAGCCAAGGGUUAAAUGAGGCAGUCACCAAAAAUCUGAGUGGCCUGCUUUCCAAUCCCUGAGAAGGGAUAGGGCCCCUAACUCCAUCCUUUACAAGGAGAGUCCUAAGGCCAGAGCCUAGUAUUCAGCUCUAGCUGAGGGUGGGUGUGAGGGUCAGGGUGAGUGGGAGCCAGAAUUGUGAGCACAGCCAGGUGUAGGUGAAGUACCACCAAGACCAAGGGGAAAAAAGCCUCAGGACAAAGUCCCAUCAAGCCUACUGAACUUAGAGCAGUGUGGAUCAAUCCCAGAGCAGCCACUUGACCCUUCUCCAUUAAUACCUUGAUGUCAGGCUGAAUGGCCUCCUACACCUAGGCCCAGGCCCAUGUAUGUGAGAUAGCUGAGGACAGGGAGAGCCUCUGGUACCCUUCUCUUCCCUAACACACAGCCUCACAGGUGCUCCCCCACCCCCUGGCACUCCCCCCACCUCCUACCUAUUGUCACACAGGUUCAGGGAGGCACUCAUUCCUGCUGCCCCAAGUAAUUGGGGGGGGUGCUGAUGACACCAUUAGGAUUCAGAGGCACCAGGGCAGGGAAAGCCUAUGCCUAGCUGUCCUGUGGAGCCUCUGCCAGCCUCUGUGAGAGGACAGAGGAAGUGUGACACACUGAAGAGUGCUCCAUCAAUCAAGUCCAUCGAACCUCAGCCAUGCCUUGGCCGUCAUCAGUGGAGCUCUCCGUGGACAAAACGGCUUUCCAGGAAGCUCUCUCACAAGGAAAGACUGUGCCUUUUGCCAGCACAAGGACAUUGGUCCACUUGCCAGUUAGUAAAGCAGCACUCUGUUUAUCCAUCAAGCUCCAGUGAACCAGACAAGUCCCUAAGGAAGGAAUACACUCUCAGGAUACAGGCUACAUUUCUAGUCCUGCCUCUGAGGCUGAGGACCAGUUCCUGGAAUGUGGUGACUUCACUAAUGCCGUGUGGUAAGCCAACAGCCUCAGCUGAUAAUGCUCUAAAC